GAACGCUGGCGGCAUGCUUUACACAUGCAAGUCGAACGGCAGCACAGGGAGCUUGCUCCCGGGUGGCGGGUGGCGCACGGGUGAGUAAUACAUCGGAACGUGUCCUGUUGUGGGGGGAUAACUGCUCGAAAGGGUGGCUAAUACCGCAUGAGACCUGAGGGUGAAAGCGGGGGAUCGCAAGACCUCGCGCAAUUGGAGCGGCCGAUGCCCGAUUAGCUAGUUGGUGGGGUAAAGGCUCACCAAGGCGACGAUCGGUAGCUGGUCUGAGAGGACGACCAGCCACACUGGGACUGAGACACGGCCCAGACUCCUACGGGAGGCAGCAGUGGGGAAUUUUGGACAAUGGGGGCAACCCUGAUCCAGCCAUGCCGCGUGCAGGAUGAGGGCCUUCGGGUUGUAAACUGCUUUUGUCAGGGACGAAAAGGACCGUGUUAAUACCAUGGUCUGCUGACGGUACCUGAAGAAUAAGCACCGGCUAACUACGUG
rnacentral:rRNA from 1 species